rnacentral:lncRNA from 1 species
CGGGGCCCAGGAUCGGGCCCACCUUGCCUGCGGGGGGCUCCAGGACAGAUGACGGGAGGGCGCUGCCGGCGGCCACCGGGGCCACACGCUCCAGUCCCACCCCGCGGCCGCCGAGUUCCCCGACCCCGACCAGCCCGACCCGGCAUCCAGUUCUGGGCAGCGGCACAUGGGGAGCACCUGCUGGCUACUGUCCCUCCCAGCAUAUGUCCAGCGGCAGCAGCAGCAACAUUGACUGCAGGCCUCUGGGCCAGGGUGAGUGGCUGUUCUGCAGGGGAGGUGAAGGAUUGAGUCCUCUGGUUCUCCAGUGGAUGGUACACGGGAAGGGAGGGGAGUGCGACAGUCUGAACUGAGGUUGCAGGACAGAUUCACAGGUGCCAGGUAGCUCAAUGACUUGUAUCCCCUAGACCAAGGGUUGUGGGUGCCAGGAAUUCUGGUCCCUGGUUACAGGGGUCGGGAAGAAAUCCAGACCUGUCCCCAGCAGGCUGUCUCUCUCCACUGCACACGUGAAGCAGGCGGGAGCAGGUGCCUUCUGCUC